GCGGGGGUUGCCAAGCCAGGUCAAAGGCGCAGGAAUGAGGAUCCUGUCCCGUAGGGGUUCGUGGGUUCAAAUCCCACCCCCCGCACCA
rnacentral:tRNA from 2 species